GCUUAAGUGUCCUAAGGCUUUAAUUUGAGCCUUCAUCCAGUAGCUGAUGGAAGCAGAAGCAGACACCCACAGCUGAACACUGAGCUGAAUUCCUGGAAUCCAGUUGCAGAAAGAGAGGAGUGAUGAGCAAAAGGGGUCAAGACCAGGCUGGAGAAACCCACAGAAACAGCUGACCUGAACAAGGGGGAGCUCAUGGACCCCAGACUGAUAUCUGGGAAACCAGUAUAGGACUGAUCCAGACCACCUGAAUGUGGGUGUCAGUUAGGAGAUCUGGGGCCUCUGGUA
rnacentral:lncRNA from 1 species